ACCACAGAAGAAGAGUUUCCUUCUCUGGGUUUGAAUUAGAGCCUUAAUUCAGAUUCUUCCUUGAAAUGAAACGUCUGUUCAGAUCUGCUUUGAGUCAUAAUUCUGGACUGGAUUCAAACUUCUCUGUGUUUCUUCUCCAGGUCUGUGUGAUGUCAUACUGACCUGCUUUUAAUCACCUCCAACUCUGAACUGCAGUGAGUUCAGUCCGUUUGGUUCUACAUUCCUCCUGUUCGGACCGCCAACCCGUCCCGGUGGCAGCGUCAUCAGCCGCAGCCGGACUGACAGCCGAGCCGUUCUGGAACUAAAACAGCAAUCCAUCAUCCAGGGACGCCGCGGCGCGGGGAGGGAGGAGAGCCUGAGGUGUUACCACGACUACCAGCUCAGCGAAAUGUUUCCCUGACCCACAGCACUGCGAGCAUUUUCACACUGGAAUCACUGAAUUAAAGCCAUAUUGGACGAAAGCUGUUUCUUGAUAAGCUGUGCAGGAGUUCACAGGUUGCUUUGACUUCCGGUGUGGCGACGGACUGGGCCGCUGAGCAUCGGGACGUCAAGAACUAAAAUGAUUAAAUGAUGCUGCCAUUGAACUGGUGGAUAGUUUGCAGUAUUUGGGAGUUGUUCUUCAUAUUUCAACAUUUGAGUCACAUUUUACCAUUUCAAUAACAAAAUAAAAACAAUUGUAGAGUUGUGAGGAGGCAGCAUUAUUAAAGUUUAUUUAAUCUGUGUACCUGCCUACAAACUGUAUUUUAAUAUUAAACCACUGAAAUAAAUGAACGUUCAUUUCUGCUGGUUUCCUAAAGUUGUCUGCUGCCAUCUAGAGGCCAGGCGGCGCCACUGCAGCAUCAUAGACCCGGUUUCAG